UACGUAGGGUGCAAGCGUUGUCCGGAAUUAUUGGGCGUAAAGAGCUCGUAGGCGGUCUGUCGCGUCGGCUGUGAAAACCCGCGGCUCAACCUCGGGCCUGCAGUCGAUACGGGCAGACUAGAGUGCGGUAGGGGAGACGUGGAAUUCCUGGUGUAGCGGUGGAAUGCGUAGAGAUCCGGAAGAACACCGGUGGCGAAGGCGGGUCUGCUGGGCAGUAGCUGACACUGAGGCGCGACAGCGUGGGGAGCAACAGG
rnacentral:rRNA from 1 species